rnacentral:rRNA from 1 species
CCUACGGGAGGCAGCAGUGGGGAAUAUUGGACAAUGGGGGGAACCCUGAUCCAGCCAUGCCGCGUGUGUGAAGAAGGCCCUCGGGUUGUAAAGCACUUUCAGUGAGGAAGAACGCCUGGUGGUUAAUACCCAUCAGGAAAGACAUCACUCACAGAAGAAGCACCGGCUAACUCCGUGCCAGCAGCCGCGGUAAUACGGAGGGUGCGAGCGUUAAUCGGAAUUACUGGGCGUAAAGCGCGCGUAGGUGGCUUGAUAAGCCGGUUGUGAAAGCCCCGGGCUCAACCUGGGAACGGCAUCCGGAACUGUCAAGCUAGAGUGCAGGAGAGGAAGGUAGAAUUCCCGGUGUAGCGGUGAAAUGCGUAGAGAUCGGGAGGAAUACCAGUGGCGAAGGCGGCCCUCUGGACUGAAACUGACACUGAGGUGCGAAAGCGUGGGUAGCAAACAGGAUUAGAUACCCCUGUAGUC